AUGGCGAUGGCGGGCGGCGGGGGACUGAACCGGUCAUCAUCGCGGGGGCAGCUGCCGCCGCAGGAGCUGCUCGACGAUCUCUGCAGCCGGUUCGUGCUGAACGUGCCCAAGGAGGACCUGGAGUCCUUCGAGCGGAUCCUGUUCCUGCUGGAGCAGGCGCACUGGUUCUACGAGGACAACUCCGUGGAGCACAACCCCUCCCUCAAGUCCCUCUCCUUCAAGGACUUCACCUCCCUAAUGUUCAACAGCUGCGCCGCUCUCAGGCCCUACCGCGCGCACCUCGACGACAUCUACAAGGACUUCACCCACUACAAGUUCCGGGUCCCCGUCUCCGGCGCCAUCAUCCUCGAUGACAACUAUGACAGGUGCUUACUUGUGAAAGGAUGGAAGUCUAGUGCCAGCUGGAGUUUCCCCCGCGGAAAGAGGAGCAAAGAUGAAGAGGAUCAUACUUGUGCAGUUAGAGAAGUUCUGGAGGAGACUGGGUGUGAUGUUUCUAAGCUUUUGAAAAUGGAUGACCACAUUGAAGUUUCAAUUGGACAACAAAGAGUUCGACUCUAUAUUAUUACGGGUGUUAAGGAAGAUACUGUUUUCGCACCUCAAACUAAGAAAGAGAUCAGUGAGAUCUCAUGGCACAGAAUUGAUGAUCUUCUACCUGCUAGUGAUGAUGCAAUAUCUCGUGGAGUGAAUGGGAUGAAGCUUUAUAUGGUUGCACCAUUUUUGACGGGUCUGAAAUCAUGGAUAGGCACACAUCGGUCCCAAGUAUAUCAGAAGCCAGAUACAUCUGCUAGAGGUACUGUGUGGAAAGCGAAGAAUCCCUCGGGUGUCUUUGUGCCUGUUGAGAACCCUGUUAUUACUAGAGCAGGAUCCGACAUGCAGAAUCCUGUUAUUAGUAGAGCAGGAUCUGGCACGCAGCACGUCGACAACCGCCCUGGCAAAAGCUUCAGAAGCUUCAGACUAUGGAAUGGCGUUGUCGCUCGUUGUUAA
rnacentral:rRNA from 1 species